AGUGAACGCUGGCGGUAGGCCUAACACAUGCAAGUCGAACGGCAGCACAGUAAGAGCUUGCUCUUACGGGUGGCGAGUGGCGGACGGGUGAGGUAUACAUCGGAAUCUACUUUUUCGUGGGGGAUAACGUAGGGAAACUUACGCUAAUACCGCAUACGACCUACGGGUGAAAGCAGGGGAUCUUCGGACCUUGCGCGUUUGAAUGAGCCGAUGUCGGAUUAGCUAGUUGGCGGGGUAAAGGCCCACCAAGGCGACGAUCCGUAGCUUGUCUGAGAGGAUGAUCAGCCACACUGGAACUGAGACACGGUCCAGACUCCUACGGGAGGCAGCAGUGGGGAAUAUUGGACAAUGGGCGCAAGCCUGAUCCAGCCAUACCGCGUGGGUGAAGAAGGCCUUCGGGUUGUAAAGCCCUUUUGUUGGGAAAGAAAAGCAGCAGGUUAAUACCCCGCUGUUCUGACGGUACCCAAAGAAUAAGCACCGGCUAACUUCGUG
rnacentral:rRNA from 1 species